CUGGCUCAGGAUGAACGCUAGCGACAGGCCUAACACAUGCAAGUCGAGGGGCAUCGGGGCGAGGAGCAAUCCUUGCCGCCGGCGACCGGCGCACGGGUGAGUAACGCGUAUGCGACCUGCCCGUUGCAGGGGGAUAAUCGGGAGAAAUCCCGUCUAAUACCGCGUAACGCCGCGGGGCUGCAUGGCCCUGCGGCCAAAGGGAGCGAUUCCGGCAACGGAUGGGCAUGCGUGACAUUAGCUAGUUGGCGGGGCAACGGCCCACCAAGGCGACGAUGUCUAGGGGUUCUGAGAGGAAGGUCCCCCACACUGGUACUGAGACACGGACCAGACUCCUACGGGAGGCAGCAGUGAGGAAUAUUGGUCAAUGGGCGCGAGCCUGAACCAGCCAAGUCGCGUGAGGGAUGACGGCCCUACGGGUUGUAAACCUCUUUUGUCGGGGAGCAAAUUCCGCCACGUGUGGCGGAGUCGAGAGUACCCGAAGAAAAAGCAUCGGCUAACUCCGUGCCAGCAGCCGCGGUAAUACGGAGGAUGCGAGCGUUAUCCGGAUUUAUUGGGUUUAAAGGGUGCGUAGGCGGACUGUCAAGUCAGCGGUAAAAUACGGGGGCUCAACCUCCGCCCGCCGUUGAAACUGUCGGUCUUGAGUGGGCGAGAAGUAUGCGGAAUGCGUGGUGUAGCGGUGUAAUGCAUAGAUAUCACGCAGAACUCCGAUUGCGAAGGCAGCAUACCGGCGCCCAACUGACGCUGAAGCACGAAAGCGUGGGUAUCGAACAGGAUUAGAUACCCUGGUAGUCCACGCAGUAAACGAUGAAUACUAGCUGUCCGGGGCGAAUGAGCCCUGGGUGGCACAGCGAAAGCGUUAAGUAUUCCACCUGGGGAGUACGCCGGCAACGGUGAAACUCAAAGGAAUUGACGGGGGCCCGCACAAGCGGAGGAACAUGUGGUUUAAUUCGAUGAUACGCGAGGAACCUUACCCGGGCUCAAACGACACAGGAACGUACCUGAAAGGGUUCGGCUCUGCGGAGCCUGUGUCGAGGUGCUGCAUGGUUGUCGUCAGCUCGUGCCGUGAGGUGUCGGCUUAAGUGCCAUAACGAGCGCAACCCCCAUCGACAGUUGCUAACAGGUUAGGCUGAGGACUCUGUCGAGACUGCCGGCGCAAGCUGCGAGGAAGGCGGGGAUGACGUCAAAUCAGCACGGCCCUUACGUCCGGGGCGACACACGUGUUACAAUGGCAGGUACAGCGGGAAGCCACCUGGCGACAGGGGGCGGAACCCGAAAGCCUGUCUCAGUUCGGAUUGGAGUCUGCAACCCGACUCCAUGAAGCUGGAUUCGCUAGUAAUCGCGCAUCAGCCACGGCGCGGUGAAUACGUUCCCGGGCCUUGUACACACCGCCCGUCAAGCCAUGGAAGCCGGGGGUGCCUGAAGUGCGCUGCCGCGAGGAGCGCCCUAGGGUAAAACCGGUGACUGGGGCUAAGUCGUAACAAGGUAACCGU
rnacentral:rRNA from 1 species